rfam:TPA: Bos taurus chromosome 6, whole genome shotgun sequence.
UCCCUGGUGGUCUAGUGGUUAAGGCUCUAUGCUUCCAAUGCAGGGGUUGCAGGUUCCAUCCCUGGUCAGGGAA